rfam:Lachnospiraceae bacterium 2_1_46FAA genomic scaffold aclXT-supercont-complete, whole genome shotgun sequence.
UCGUGCAGCCGGGGUGGUAGCGGUACCUUGUACCCACAAUCCGCUAUAGUGGGGGUGAUAUUACACGGAGGGCUUUAUUUUGUGAGGCUGCCCUCUGAAAGUGGCGUUGAUGUUCGGGUCUUACGCGACAGGAAUCCAUGAACCGUGUCAGGUCGGGAACGGAGCAGCACUAAGUGGAACCUUCUGGGUGCCGUAAGGGUGCCUGGGCUGAGUUAACUACAGAGGUAACGCUCAUGAAGUGAGUUCGAAGUGUAAUGCACGA